UUAAAAACCCUCUUUUGUUCUCUCCCCAUCGUCGCUAACAGCAAAAACCAAUUCCAGCCAGGGUGCCCGGCACGUCCGGCUUUUGCUAGGUGCAUCGGGCGUCACCCCUCCGCCAUCGAGAAGCUAAGUCCCUCUUCUAUCCUCUAGUCAUGUCAGUUUUUUUCUGGUCGUCCCUUUCCGUCCCUAUUCUCCUUUUCCUUUCUUCUUUUUGGAUGGGUAACGGUGGUGCAACAGUGCAGCAGCUCUGACGCGCCACGGUGAGGGUGUUGUCGCCGUCUCCUUCUCCGCUGGCUUGAGUUCGUCCCUCUCCGUCCGGUGGUUCUCCCUCACUACGGCGACUCAAAUCUGGAGCUUACACUGGAGGUUCAAAUCCUCCAGGUUCGAUCCGGUUGCUCCGAUGUCGCGGCAUCGAGCCUCCCCUCCUCCCGGUGGUGGCUCAGACUUCUGGAGCAGGUGGAAAGGGCUCUCCAGGCUGUGAUAGCGGCACCCCCUUCCCUACUCCGUUCGAUGGCGUGGUGCGUAUUGGCGGCGGCCUCCAGCUCCCUGCCGGAGGUCGUGAUCGCCAUCUCUGGCAGUCCGUCUGGUACUGUGAAGGCAGAGCUGAUGUGAGGGGCCUUUGUGAGGACUAUUGUCCGGAUUGUUUCAGAAAAAACCCUAUGGAGCUUUACUUUCUUGGGAUUGGCUUUGGGCAUUUUUCUGUGCAACUUUAGAGCUGAGGCGUUCUCCACCCUCCAGUUUGUCUGUCCAUUUCCUCUCCUCUCCUAUGGCGGUUUCUCGUCUAUAUUCUACCCAUCACUUCUUUACAACGGCAACACCCCCGCCCAUCAUAGUAAAGGAUUACGCUCCUAGACGGACCAGUUAUGCCUCUCGCCAGUUCAAAUAAACUUUUUGUGGCUUGCCUAUUUAUUUUUUUUUGUUGGUUUGGAGCUCCCUUGAUGAUGGUCUCUGGUUUGAAUCGUCCAAAGAAACCUUAGUUACUUGGAUGCGUUGGUUUGAUUGUCUUUUAAUUGAGCAGUUUAUGGCUAGGUUCAUUGAGCUUUGUCUAUGUAUUGUGAUCUGUGAUGAGAGCUUGCGUUAGGGUACCAACCCAAGACAUCCUUCUUAUUCCAUUUCUCGCAACGUAGAUAGAAAUUCACCACGGAUUAAUAGACUGAAUUGAUGACCCCCUACCUAGUUUCACUGGGGUUCGUGCUGAAUUGUUACAGGAAGAUGGUUGACCGGAAUUCUUGUUUUCAAGAUGACUUACUAUAAUUGUAAUGUUCUUACUUGACGUGACUUUUUAAAGUCAAUUUUCUUUUAUACUUUGCUCGUCGGGUCAAUCAAUAUAUCAUGCUCUUGUAAUUCA